rnacentral:rRNA from 1 species
UACGUAGGGGGCAAGCGUUGUCCGGAAUCAUUGGGCGUAAAGCGCGUGUAGGCGGCUUGGUAAGUCCGUUCUGAAAGCCCGGGGCUCAACCCCGGGAGGCGGAUGGAUACUGUCAAGCUUGAGUCCGGAAGAGGCGAGUGGAAUUCCCGGUGUAGCGGUGAAAUGCGCAGAUAUCGGGAGGAACACCAAUGGCGAAAGCAGCUCUCUGGGACGGUACUGACGCUGAGACGCGAAAGCGUGGGGAGCGAACAGG